rnacentral:rRNA from 1 species
UUUUCAUGGAGAGUUUGAUCCUGGCUCAGGACGAACGCUGGCGGCGUGCUUAACACAUGCAAGUCGAACGGAAAGGCCCAGCUUGCUGGGUACUCGAGUGGCGAACGGGUGAGUAACACGUGGGUGAUCUGCCCUGGACUCUGGGAUAAGCCUGGGAAACUGGGUCUAAUACCGGAUAUUCGCUUUCUCUCGCAUGGGGGUUGGUGGAAAGCUUUUGCGGUUCAGGAUGGGCCCGCGGCC